UACGAAGGGGGCUAGCGUUGUUCGGAAUUACUGGGCGUAAAGGGCGCGUAGGCUGUGCUGUAAGUCUGAUGUGAAAGCCCUGGGCUCAACCUGGGAACGGCAUUGGAAACUGGCUUACUAGAGUGCGGUAGAGGGGUGUGGAAUUCCCGGUGUAGCAGUGAAAUGCGUAGAUAUCGGGAGGAACAUCUGUGGCGAAGGCGACACCCUGGACCAGCACUGACACUGAGGCACGAAAGCGUGGGGAGCAAACAGG
rnacentral:rRNA from 1 species